rnacentral:lncRNA from 1 species
UUUGGGUUUUACUUUUUACAGCUUCUUUUUGUUUCUUUUUGUUUAGAAAAUUUGUCUGUAAUUCUAGAAUAACAGAAUGGAAACUAUGGAAGUCUGAUGGACGUAAUCUUUGGAGUGUACUCAUUACUCAAAUGUACAGAUAAUCGGAAUGAAUCUUGUACUUACCCCAAAAACUUGAAUACAAGAUUUCUCAUACAAUGAAAACUUGGUUUUACAAAAAAACAUCAACAAUGAGCUGUAUACAAGAAGCUUACAUGAAUCUUUGUAGGGGGAUUCUCACUGAGCCACUUCACUGAAUACUUCAGGGUGCAGUAAUAACAAAAAAAAAAAAAAAGGCUUGGAAAGAGCAUGAGCUCUUGGCACUGAUUUCUGCAGGCGAAUGUGACCUGCCUUCUCCUUCUGCAACUAACAGGGUGACCAGAGGCAGUGGAAUGUACACCAGGACUGGAAAGAAUAGAUCCAGAGGGAAAGCAAGCUGUCAAGAGAACAGUGUACUGAAGAUGAAAAAUGAAAAUGGAAGAGUCAAAACACAAAAUCAACGUUAUACUCCAUAUCCCAUGAAUAACACASUUCCAGCCUAUAAAAACACAAAGCAGCCACUAUAACUACAUACAUUUUCUUGAAAAGAAGUAUAAGCGAAUCUGUACUCACAUC